rnacentral:hammerhead_ribozyme from 1 species
AUCCAGCUGACAAGUCCCAAAUAGGAUAAAAUGUACUUCCUGGAU